rnacentral:rRNA from 1 species
GGUUCGAUCCUGCCCAGAUUGAACGCUGGCGGGAUGCUUUAUAAAGUCGAACGGCAGCACGGACUUCGGUCUGCGGCGGAGGCGAACGGUGAGAAGGUAUCGGAACGUAGUCAGGGGGAUAACUACGUGAAAGCGCUAAUACCGCAUACGUCCUUCUCGGGGGAAAGUGGGGGGACCUUCGGCUUCGCACUAUUAGAGCGGUCGAUAUCGGAUUAGUUAGCCAGGCAACGGCUCAUCAAGGCGAUGAUCCGUAGCUGGUUUGAGAGGACGACCACACACUGGACUAUGAUAUCGGCCCAGACUCCUACGGAGGAAAGAAAAGGGGGAAUUUUGGACAAUGGGGGGAAACCCUGAUCCAGCCAUCCCGGCGUGUGCGGGAUGCGAAGGCUCUCACACAAAACACCUUUAGCAGAAGGUGUCUGCGCCGGGAUAAUACCCCCGUGCAACUGACGGUACCUGCAGAAUAAAGCACCGCUAACUACGUGCCAGCAGCCGCGGUAAUACGUAGGGUGCAAGCGUUAAUCGGAAUUGGCGUGCAGCGUGCGCAGGCGGUUCGGAAAAGAAAGAUGUGAAAUCCCAGAGCUAACUUUGGAACUGCAUUUUUAACUACCGAGCUAGAGUGUGUCAGAGGGAGGUGGAAUUCCGCGUGUAGCAGUGAAAUGCGUAGAUAUGCGGAGGAACACCGAUGGCGAAGGCAGCCUCCUGGGGAUAACACUGACGCUCAUGCACGAAAGCGUGGGGAGCAAACAGGAUUAGAUACCCUGCAGUCUCACGCCAAACGAUGUCAAUCAGCUAAAUGGCCUUGCAGUAGCGCAGCUAACGCGUAGUAGCGGACCGCCUGGGGAGUACGGUCGCAAGAUUAAAACUCAAAGGAAUUGACGGGGACCCGCACAAGCGGUGGAUGAUGUGACACCCUGAUGCAACGCGAAAAACCUUACCUACCCUUGACAUGUCUGGAAUCCCGCAGCGAGAUUUGGGAGUGCUCGCAAGAGAACCGGAACACAGGUGCUAUUGUCGUCAGCUCGUGUCGAGAUGUUGGGUUAAGUCCAGCAACGGCAAACUUUGUCACCGCUAGUUGCUACGAAAGGCACUCUAUCGAGAUCAUGGCAGAGCAAACCGGAGGAAGGUGGAUGCCGACGUCAAGUCCUCAUGGCCCGGUGGGCUUCACACGUCAUACAAUGGUCGGGACAGAGGGUCGCCAACCCGCACAGGGGAGCCAAUCCCGGUAGAAACCGAUCAGAAUGUCCGGAUCGUUCGCAACUCGACUGCGUGAAGUCGGGAAUCGCUAGUAAUCGCGGAUCAGCAUGUCGCGGUGAAUAUUCGGGCCUUGUACACACCGCCCGUCACACCAUGGGGAGGCUUACCGUGAAGUAGUUAGUCAACCGUAAGAGGGCGAUUACCACCAGGAUCUAUGACUGGGGUGAAGCCGUAGUCACAG